AGUGUUGUUUACUACAGUACACAUAACCUGUGUUUUACUUGAAACCAAAUUAUUUUUCUGAUAAUAAAAUGUCUGACCGUGAUAAUUUAGAGAGUGAAAGUGAUCAGCCUCCGGCAAAGAAAGCAAAAUCACACUAUGACACACUAUCAAGUCAUCAAACCCAACAAUCAUCUCAGGGGUCACAAAAUAUUAUUAUUGAAACUGUAAAUCACCAAGAUUAGUUAAACACAAGACAUACUAUUAAUUUUAUAGUAAAUAAUAAUAAAAAAGAACGUCAAAAACGAUACAGGGAGCAGAACAGAGACAAAUUGAAGCAGCGUGAAGCGGAAAGAAGAGAAUGCAUACAAUAUUCACAAAGUAUUGCCAGACCAUCUACCUCUUCAAACACGAAUAGAAUAGAACUGAAUAAUGAAGAAAUAAUUACUGCUCAAAGUUCAUCUGGUUCAGAAAAAAAUUUAGUGUGCGUGGUUGCAAAAUAUUUUACUUUUAAUGAAAUUCGUAAAAUCUA